rnacentral:rRNA from 1 species
AGUUCAUAACUAUCAAAGUUGAAACUGCGAAGCGCUCAGUAAAUCAGUUAUAGUCUGUUCGAUCGUUCAAGCCCAUGGAUAACUGUGGCAAAUCUAUAGCUAAUACAUGCAAAAGCCCCCACCAUAGGGCACAUUUAUUGGCUAACCGACACCACCCGUAGCAAUGCGGGUAGCAGGUGAAUCUAGAUAACUGUGCUUACCGCAUAGCCUAGCGCUGGCGGUAGUUCGAUCGAAUUUCUGCCCUAUCAACUAGUUGGUAAGGUAGUGGCUUACCAAGGUAGUAACGGGUAACGGGGAAUCAGGGUUCGAUUCCGGAGAGGGAGCCUGAGAAACGGCUACCACAUCCAAGGAAGGCAGCAGGCGCGCAAAUUACCCAAUCCAGACAUUGGGAGGUAGUGACGAGAAAUACUGGGGGCGCUCCAAGUGAGUGCCAUCCGGAAUGAACGUAACACAAAAAAUUCGAUGAGGAUCUACUGGAGGGCAAGUCUGGUGCCAGCAGCCGCGGUAAUUCCAGCUCCAGUAGUGUAUAUCAACAUUGUUGCGCUUAAAACGCUCGUAGUUGGAUUACAGGGCACCAAACACGGCUACUAUUCUGUGGUCGUGGUCGUAGCAGGCCUGCAUGAAUCAUGUAGGUAGCUCGAUGGAGCCCUUUUGUCGCACUGGCCCCGGUCGAUGCCUUUGCUGGUGUUGGUCGGUUGCCGGUGGAGUGUGCCUUGAAUAAAGCAUAGUGCUCAAAGCAGGCGUACGCUCGUGUGUAAUAGCAUGGAACGAAUAUAUCUUGACCGCCUCCAUGGAGGCGCGGUGUAACAGCUGCGUCACAUUGGGGUUGGUUCGAUCAGUGUUGGUUGGAACCACGGUCUCAACGGUUAAAAGGGACACCUGAGGGCACUAGUACUUUGUGGCGAGAGGUGAAAUUCUUAGACCCACAAAAGACUGACUACUGCGAAAGCAUUUGCCAAGAGUGUUUUCAUUAAUCAAGAACGAAGGUCAGAGGAUCGAAGACGAUCAGAUACCGUCCUAGUUUUGACAGCAAACUAUGCCAGCAUAGGGUCGGAGCGGUCGCUCGUCAACAGCGAGUCGGACUACUGCGGGCCUUAAGGGAAACCUAGCUUUCGGGCUGCUGGGAGAAUAUCGCUGCAAGGCUGAAAUUUAAAGAAAUUGACGGAGAGGCACCACCAGGAGUGGAGCCUGCGGCUUAAUUUGACUCAACACGGGGAAACUCACCAGGUCCAGACAUUGGUAGGAUUGACAGACAUGGUAGAUCUUUCAUGAUUCAGUGAAUGGUGGUGCAUGGCCGUUCUUAGUUGGUGGAGUGAUCUGUCAGGUCUAUUCCGGUAACGAGCGAGACCACGGCCUCUAGUUAUCAUGUCGUCGAGCCCAGUGCUUCAGUCGGCUAACUAGAGGGACUAUUGGUGUUUAAACCAGAGGAAGCGUGGCAAUAACAGGUCUGUGAUGCCCUUCGAUGUCCUGGGCUGCACGCGCGCUACAAUGGCAGCAGUAGAGAGUGUUAGCUAGCCAGAGAUGGUUGGUAAAACUGUAAAUCGCUGUCGUGAUAGGGAUUGAGCCUUGUAAUUAUUGCUCAUGAAAGAGGAAUUCCUCGUAAGCACUAGUCAUCAGCUAGUGUUGAAUACGUCUCUGCCUCUUGUACACACCGCCCGUCGCUACUACCGAUUGAAUUGCUUUUAAAGCUGGCUGGACCGGACUUGUACUGCCUCUGGUGGUGCGAGCUGGGAGGGCCGACAAUGGAUGCCAUUUAGAGKAACGUAAAAGUCGUAACAAGGUUUCCGUAGGUGA